UUAUGAAUAUUUUUGCCAUUCUAAUUUUGUAAUAAUCAGGACAGACUGAACAUUUGCUUUAGUACGACCUUGCAUGUGUCCCCAGACCUAGUUCUUUACCUACAUAAUGUGAUCUUAGAAAUUAUGGUGAUGAAU